UGCAGAAACUCAAACACACAAGCAAAAUACCUUUCAACACAAAAAUCAUUCCCAGUCUUCCUUAGCAGUUCACAUCGAAGAAGGUAGUAUCCCUUUUCAUACAAUACAGCUCAAUAUUUGUGUUAAAGCAACAACCAUGAAUAGUAAUGAACAAUAACUAUAAACAUAUCUCUAAUUCUAAUUUUACAACGCAGUCUCAGUUCCUCAAUAAGCGGAAACAGACCCCUCUUGGGAACGAAUUGGUGAUUGGAGAUAUAAGGUGGAGUUUGGUGAAUGGAGAGAUAAGGUAGUUCUUGGAGUGGAUGGGGAACUAACUACUAACAUCUAACAUGACUUUGCCCGAUCAAAAAAAAAACAUAUAAAAAAAAUAGGAUUUUGAGCAGUAGUCGAAGCUGCCGCACAGGAGACACCUAGAAUCAUCAAUUCCUGAAAUAGAAAAUAGAUAGGAAGUUUGUUAAAUUGGAUUUUGAACUGGAAAAUAGAGAAGAGGGAAAGGAUGAAGGAGGAGGGGGAUAGCAACAGUAGCAGCGAGCCACCGCGGCGGUGACGCGACUGGCGGCGGCGA
rnacentral:lncRNA from 1 species